rfam:Gilliamella apicola strain wkB1, complete genome.
UCUUUUGACUCGGGGUGUUUUUUGUUGCUUACAAAAAACUGAGAUUUUACCCGUUGAACCUGAUCUGGAUUAUACCAGCGUAGGGAAGUCUAAGCCUUGAAAA